GUGUCAGCAGCCGCGGUAAUACGGGGGGGGCAAGCGUUGUUCGGAAUUACUGGGCGUAAAGGGCUCGUAGGCGGCCAACUAAGUCAUACGUGAAAUCCCUCGGCUUAACCGGGGAACUGCGUAUGAUACUGGAUGGCUUGAGUUCGGGAGAGGGAUGCGGAAUUCCAGGUGUAGCGGUGAAAUGCGUAGAUAUCUGGAGGAACACCGGUGGCGAAGGCGGCAUCCUGGACCGAUACUGACGCUGAGGAGCGAAAGCCAGGGGAGCAAACGGGAUUAGAUACCCCGGUAGUCCUGGCCCUAAACGAUGAAUGCUUGGUGUGGCGGGUAUCGAUCCCUGCCGUGCCGAAGCUAACGCAUUAAGCAUUCCGCCUGGGGAGUACGGUCGCAAGGCUGAAACUCAAAUGAAUUGACGGGG
rnacentral:rRNA from 1 species